rnacentral:lncRNA from 1 species
CGGAAGGUGGCGCCCCUCCUCGCCCGGGCGGUGCUCGGCGGUCGUUGUCGCCGGUCUACUAGCUGCCAUCGAUUUAUGUUUCACGUUCUGUUAGUUAGGCCUAGGUUAGUUGCGCACCUGUUUUGUGUUAGUGGUUAGUGGGGAAGGAUAUUUAGGCUAGCUAGUUAGGUUUGUUGUUUGUGCGGGAUUGUUCGUUUGUUCAGGGUGUGUUUUGUUACGAGGUUCUGUGGUUUGCCUUUUGGAGUUACGUUAUUCGUUUUAGGCUGCGUCCCUGGUUACGUUCUUUUAGGGUGGUGCGUUUCUUUCUGCACACCUUGCACUCCAUACCUUUUUGCAUAUUUUCCGUGUGGAUAUUUUAUUAAAUUCAUUCACGGAAUCAUUCUGUCUCCUGCGCCGUUGUGACAAGUAUGGAGAUUGUUGUGGUUUUGGCAGGCUUUCCCUCCUUCUCUGAGCACUUCCUUUAUUUUAAAUUUUAAAUGUUUGGUCAUUUUGCAGAAGCUCUUAUCCAGAACAACUUACAUGCAUUUUCUUACUGCAAAUCAAACCCAUAACCCUGGUGUUGCAAGUGCCAUGCUCUACCAACUGAACCAACCGUCCUGUCGGUCUGUAGAGAUAGACAUUUCAAAUAAAGACAGACAGGAACCUUGGGCAAUGUGUGCAAGACUUGUUGAAGGGACUAGAGAGAUUGAACAACCGUGAAAAGAACCAGACUCAUGAGGGGAUGCCCAUUCUAUGGCUGGCAUAUGGCAUGAUUGCAUCACAGUCUAUUUGGGUUGUUGGGAAUUUUUUUUAAGCAUAAAGCUCAGUUGCUCACAUCGGGUGGCGGGUAUAUUACUUUUCAUGUAAUAGUGCAAUGGAAAUCUACCUGAUUACUUUACGAAAGGACUCAGUCAUGCCAUGAGUUUUGUGCCAGUGACAAAUCUAGGGUAAAUGACUUCCUGGGUGGAUUCUAGUCAGCACAACGGAUAUUGGGGAAAUUAAAGUUUCAUUUAAUGACAACAUCUUAGUCCUAGAUACACAAACGAUUACAUUACCCAAAAGUCUUAGCUGGACCAAUGAACAACAUUGACAAAACGUUAGCCGCCACGUCCCCCAAGUCCUCUCUUUACUAUAACACAUCUAUACAGAUGUCAUCUCUUCCUCUGCUUAUGGAAGUCAUCACUGAAUGGUUUGUUCGACGGAUUAAUAGAUGAGAAUUGCAGGAAAUUAGCUUUAUUAACUGCAACAUCUUCUCUCCACUCCAUGGCAAAAUGUGUAG